GACAGAGGUGCCGAGCGUUAGGCGGAAUCACUGGGCUUAAAGCGCGUGUAGGUGGGUCGUUAAGUGUCCGCGUGAAAUCCCACGGCUCAACCGUGGAACUGCCGGGCAUACUGGCGAUCUUGAGGCAUUCAGGGGCGAGCGGAACAAAUGGUGGAGCGGUGAAAUGCGUAGAUAUCAUUUGGAACGCCAAUGGUGAAAACAGGUAGCUGGGGCUGUGCUGACACUGAGACACGAAAGCCAGGGGAGCAAACGGG
rnacentral:rRNA from 1 species